rnacentral:lncRNA from 1 species
GGGUCCCGCAACUCAGUCCCUGCACAGCCCCAGGAUGGGCCGUGUCCCCCCAGGGAAUCCCCACAUUCCUCCUUUACCUCCUCCCAGUUCCCCAUGGAUCACCAGACCCUGCCACUGAACCUCCCUGGCACCAAGGGGAACUUCCAGCUCCUCAGCUUCAACAGUGACAGGGCACAAUCAACAAAACCAGAACUGCCACCACCACAUCCCACGCUGGCUCUUCACCAUUCCCCGUCCCGAGCUCCCAAACCAAGCAGGAGUCCUCAGGAAAUCCAACUCACAAAUGGGGAAAGGUGACCUUUCCAGUUAACUUGAAAAAUACGGGAGUUUUGAACGUGAGAAGUGCAUAAAUCCUGCUGGUUCCCCAAAAUGCAGCUCGCAGGGUGUUGCGGAGGCCGUGCCAGAGGCAGAGCACAGGAUGGGCUCAGCCCUGUCCCCACGGCUCCAGGAAGAGCAGAAGGGGCAGAGCUGCACCCUCAGCCCAGCACAAACCUCAGCAAAGUCCCCGCAGCAGCGGCGUGGGCGAGGGGAAGCCAGAAGAUAAAUCCUUAUCCAGAGGCCUCUUCCUCUGCAGGGCGGGCAAAUCCUCCUCACCCCUCUGCAGAGGAAGAGGAAAAGGAAAUGUGGGAUGGGGGAGCAGCUCUGCAAGCUCAGCAGAAAGCUCCACCACGGGCACGGCUCUGCUCAGCACGGGCUGGGGCAGCUCAGUUCAGCCACCAGAACCCACCAGAACCCAUCAAAAUCCACCAGAACCCAUCAAAAUCCACCAGAACCCCCCAGAAUCCACCAGAACCCAUCAAAAUCCACCAGAACCCACCAGAAUUUACCAGAACCCAUCAAAAUCCACCAGAACCCACCAGAAUUUACCAGAACCCAUCAAAAUCCACCAAAACCCAUCAAAAUCCACCAAAACUCACCAGAACUCCCCAGAACCCACCAGAACCCAUCAAAAUCCACCAGAACCCAGAACUCCCCAGAACCCAUCAAAAUCCACCAAAACCCAUCCAAACCCACCAAAAUCCACCAAAGCCCAUCAAAACCCACCAGAAUUUACCAGAACCCAUCAAAAUCUACCAAAACCCAUCGAAAUCCACCAAAACCCAUCGAAAUCCACCAAAACCCAUCGAAAUCCACCAAAACCCACCAGAACCCAUCAAAACCAACCAGAACCCAUCAAAAUCCACCAAAACCCAUCAAAAUCCACCAAAACCCAUCAAAAUCCACCAGAACCCACCAGAACUGCCCAGAACCCACCAGAACUGCCCAGAAUCCACCUC